UCCAAUGUGGUGUAGUGGCUAACAUUGCUGUCUUUCAAGCCUGCUCUUGUAUGGUGGGUGCACAGCAGCCCGGGGUUCGAUUCCCCGCAUUGGAA